CAGAAGUCAGGUCGGAUUAAGCCAUAGUACGGGAAAAACUAUGCUACCUGUGAGCCCCGUCCAAGGACGUUAAAAGAAGUCAGGCCACUACAAGUGCCAUAGCUUGAGCAAACUAUGCAGCCUGUAGCUCCACCUGAGAAGGUGUAAAAAAUCUGGGAGGCCACAAACCAUGGAAGCUGUACGCAUGGCGUAGUGGACUAGCGGUUAGAGGAGACCCCUCCCUUACAAAUCGCAGCAACAAUGGGGGCCCAAGGUGAGAUGAAGCUGUAGUCUCACUGAAAGGACUAGAGG
rnacentral:lncRNA from 1 species